GACGAACGCUGGCGGCGUGCCUCAUACAUGCAAGUCGAGCGGAUGUAGCAAUACAUCAGCGGCGGACGGGUGAGUAACACGUGGGCAACCUGGCCUUAAGAGGGGGAUAACGUCCCGAAAGGGACGCUAAUACCGCGUAAAUCAACGAGAUCGCAUGAUUUUGUUGGAAAAGGAGUAAUCCGCUUAAGGAUGGGCCCGCGGCCUAUUAGCUAGUUGGUAGGGUAACGGCCUACCAAGGCGACGAUAGGUAGCCGACCUGAGAGGGUGAACGGCCACACUGGAACUGAGAAACGGUCCAGACUCCUACGGGAGGCAGCAGUAGGGAAUAUUCCGCAAUGGGCGAAAGCCUGACGGAGCAACGCCGCGUGAGUGAAGAAGGUUUUCGGAUCGUAAAGCUCUGUCAACAGGGACGAAACAAGACGGUACCUGAGAAGGAAGCCACGGCAAACUACGUG
rnacentral:rRNA from 1 species